rnacentral:sRNA from 1 species
UUUUUUUUAAUUGUUUUUGCUCGCUUUUCAAUGUUUUUUAUAAGUUCGUUUCUUAAAAAAAAAACUUUCUUUAAAUAGGUAUAUGAUAUUAUUUGUUUACAGUUUCAGCCGUUUUCUUAAUAUUAUUCACAUACUUUUGUCAUAUUCAUUUUCAAAAACACACGAUUUGAAAAAAAAUCUUGACUUGUGUUUUUUCGUGUGACGAUGGCUCCCCCUUCGUAGUCCCAAUCCAAAAAGAAAAACACUUACUUGGGUCACUGGCCGGCUUGGCUUGGAUUUCAUCAUCAAAUUUGACUUCCAGCGGGCACCAACAAAACAUACGGUUGUAACCAUAGUUGUCAGUUCGUGUCAGCUGGCUGUCGUUUUCGAUGACAGGAGGCGAAUUCUAGCCAUCAGAUGGUGCUCUCUGUCUUCUACCCGCUAGUCGAUGGCGCUGGGGUUGCAUAUUAAGACGAACGCCACAACAUGUGCAAAAAUGUCGAACAAUUUUUUAGGUUAGUGCACGCAUCCUUACGGCUUAGUGGCGGUGCAGUAGCAGCAACAUGGCGGCGGUUUGAUUCGCAUUGGCAGAUGUAGACGGUAAGGUGUCAUGGACGAUGUUGGCCAGGCGACGCAGUACGGACAGCCAUUCUGCAAAAUCAACUAUGGUGGCUGGUUAUUGUAGUUGAAGACAUUUUUCGGCCCACUGUAUUUCGGCUUGUUGAAGGCUUAGCGAUGAGUUCGCUUAUCAGUGAUUCGGCGGUUUGAUUCGGCAUUGGCAGAUGUAGACGGUAAGGUGUCAUGGACGAUGUUGGCCAGGCGACGCAGUACGGACAGCCAUUCUGCAAAAUCAACUAUGGUGGCUGGUUAUUGUAGUUGAAGACAUUUUUCGGCCCACUGUAUUUCGGCUUGUUGAAGGCUUAGCGAUGAGUUCGCUUAUCAUUGAAAGGGUAGGACAGAUGAUGAUCUCCCUUCACGUUCCUGACAAAUGAGGCCCUGUUGGCGACUUGUUUGCAAAAUUGACCAGGGCUUCCAGGUUGUCGUUGGCUAAAGCUGGAAUGACACGAACAUUUUCAAUUUGGCUUCCAAUUAACUGCUCCGGACUACCAAAGGUUUCAAGCAGAGUUUGUGGUGUUGACGUUGACAGAAUUGACUUGCAGCGACUUGAUGGUUUCUCUCGCUCGUCCCUUAAUAUCAUCUCUGAGUGCCAUGAUGUUGUGUAGGCUAUUGUAGCCAAAUACGGCAGUGGUGCUUUCGUACGCUCCAUAAAAGGUUUGCCACUCUUCUGGAAGACAUGAAAUGUGGAAUUGAAACAAAACUUUGUGGAUACGUAUUGUGGACAGACAUUUACGAAUUUAUGGACAGAGGAGGCAGCGGAUAUACACUUGUUGUGGCAAUGGCAACUGUCGUGGCAGAUUUUGUGGUGGAUGUUGUGCCUGAUAUGGCGCUGGCUGUUUUUACUAAUUUCGUGGCGGCAGUAUCGUUUCUGGCUUAUUAUUUAAUGGCGGCGGUGCUAUCGUCGAUGCAAGUAAUGCUGACUGCAUUUCCACUUGUUUGGUGGUGUUAGUAAGUUGUGCUUGCAUAUUUUUUGUUGAGGCAAUAUACUGUGCAUUACUUGCAUUUCUCGCUGCAUUUGCUCCAUUUGUACUCUCAUUUGUUUCAUGAACUCACCGACUUCACUUGAAGGUUUUGGCAUACCGGCUGGUGACUUGGCUGCAUUUUUCUGGUGCUGUAAAUGAGGAGGCGGAUUAGUCGUAUUUGCAAGAGGCAUACCGUUCAUUGGCUGUGGCUGGUUUUUGUUGGCAUAUCGGACUUUGGUGAGUGGCUGAUAGACAUCUCACUGACGUAUUGCGGAAAACGGGCUGGAGGUGUCCCUUUUUUGCUUCCCCUGCUUGUUCUUGGCUGUUCGACAUAAACUAGGCAGGAUCUCAACUCAAAGGAAUAAACAUCACACACCUGAGGCCUUCCAAAAUAAGAUGAUGGAUGAAUUUAUUUUAAACUGGUGAAAAAAACUACUCGAUUUAUUUCUUUAUUGCUUUGUGUUCAAAUAACAAGAUUCAACAUUUGGUUCAUGUGUAUGUGUGUUGAUUUGAGAUUGAUUAUGUUAAUUCACUAUGAACAAAAUAAAUGUAUUAAAAUUUACAUUUUAA